AACGAACGCUGGCGGCAGGCCUAACACAUGCAAGUCGAGCGCCCAGCAAUGGGAGCGGCAGACGGGUGAGUAACGCGUGGGAACCUUCCCGAUAGUACGGAAUAGCCCAGGGAAACUUGGAGUAAUACCGUAUACGCCCGCAAGGGGAAAGAUUUAUCGCUAUCGGAUGGGCCCGCGUAGGAUUAGCUAGUUGGUGGGGUAAUGGCUCACCAAGGCGACGAUCCUUAGCUGGUUUGAGAGAAUGACCAGCCACACUGGGACUGAGACACGGCCCAGACUCCUACGGGAGGCAGCAGUGGGGAAUCUUGGACAAUGGGCGCAAGCUUGAUCCAGCCAUGCCGCGUGAGUGGCGAAGGUCUUCGGAUCGUAAGGCUCUUUUGCCAGGGACGAUAAUGACGGUACCUGGAGAAUAAGCCCCGGCUAACUUCGUGCCAGCAGCCGCCGUAA
rnacentral:rRNA from 1 species